rnacentral:rRNA from 1 species
AGUGAACGCUGGCGGUAGGCCUAACACAUGCAAGUCGAACGGCAGCACAGUAAGAGCUUGCUCUUACGGGUGGCGAGUGGCGGACGAGUGAGGAAUACAUCGGAAUCUACUUUUUCGUGGGGGAUAACGUAGGGAAACUUACGCUAAUACCGCAUACGACCUACGGGUGAAAGCAGGGGAUCUUCGGACCUUGCGCGAUUGAAUGAGCCGAUGUCGGAUUAGCUAGUUGGCGGGGUAAAGGACCACCAAGGCGACGAUCCGUAGCUGGUCUGAGAGGAUGAUCAGCCACACUGGAACUGAGACACGGUCCAGACUCCUACGGGAGGCAGCAGUGGGGAAUAUUGGACAAUGGGCGCAAGCCUGAUCCAGCCAUACCGCGUGGGUGAAGAAGGCCUUCGGGUUGUAAAGCCCUUUUGUUGGGAAAGAAAAGCAGCAGGUUAAUACCCCGCUGUUCUGACGGUACCCAAAGAAUAAGCACCGGCUAACUUCGUG